AAGCGUGCGCAGGCGGUUUUGUAAGACUGUCGUGAAAUCCCCGGGCUCAACCUGGGAAUGGCGACUGGUGACUGCAAGGCUAGAGUUUGGCAGAGGGGGGUAGAAUUCCACGUGUAGCAGUGAAAUGCGUAGAUAUGUGGAGGAACACCGAUGGCGAAGGCAGCCCCCUGGGUCAAAACUGACGCUCAUGCACGAAAGCGUGGGGAGCAAACAGGAUUAGAUACCCUUGU
rnacentral:rRNA from 1 species